rnacentral:lncRNA from 1 species
CACAGAUUAACAGAAUAUCAUACAAUUUACAAUCACAACAAAAACAUUUUAAGCUUUAAGCUCUUAAUUAACAAUGAUACACUAAAUAAAAGCAUGCUUAGCAGUGGCAAAUAUUUCAGGUCUAUCCAGGACAAAACAAUAAAAUAAAUGAUGACAAAGAAAUUAAUAACUAAUUCAUUUAACAUGUUUACAAUCCAUUCUAUAACUCAACUGAAAAAUGAAGCAAUUAACUUUUAUUUCGGACAAACAGCGGAUCCAGAAAUUUUUAUAAGUCGGUGCCCAGUGACUGCCUCAGAGGGGCCUUCAGUGAUUCCCUAUGUAAUCAACCAUUUUUUUCCCAGAAAAGGAGGGUUGGGGGGCCUGGGCCCCCUCUAUAAAUUUAAGUCUGGUUGGUAGACAAGUAUAUUCAUCAGUUUCAUGUACAAUAUGCAUGCAUUACUUUUUGCAACUAAUAUAUUUUCAAAUGAAAUAUUUAGUAUGACAAGUACUAACCUGUAUUAUUGCAUACAUGUACAAUGAUAUACAAACAAAUUGGUUAAGAAAUUAAUAUUUAAAAAGUAUACAAUAUCAAUAAAUUGCAUGACAUUGGCAUGGAUAUGAUCUAAAGAAGGGACCCUUCACUGCAAUCUAGUGUUUACCAACAAAGAUACAGACGAGGCCUAGGACUGAAAUAUGGAGACAUACAUACAAUGAAACAUGGAUAACAACAUCAAGCCAAUAACAAUAGGGUUUUGAUCAUGAUUGCACUGUUGAAAUCUCAACAAUCAUCUUAGUAAACAAAUAAUUAACUGACAUUACAUUAAUGUUCAGGCAAAUAAGGAAGACAACAUAUAGUAAAAUGACUCAUUACAAAUGUUACAUGAAUUCCAC